rnacentral:RNase_P_RNA from 1 species
CGAGCGAUGCGCGCGCGACACGGCUCGAGGAAAGUCCGGGCUCCGCAGGGCACGGUGCCGGGUAACGCCCGGGCGCCGCGAGGCGACGGAAAGUGUCACAGAGAGCAGACCGCCGAUGGCGGCUACGCCGCACAGGCAAGGGUGAAAGGGUGGGGUAAGAGCCCACCGCGCCGCUGGAGACCGCGACGGCACGACAAACCCCACCGGGAGCAAGGCCAAAUAGGGACGGCGGUCGCGCUGCGGUGUGACGGAACUGUUCCCGGUUCGCCGUCCGGGUCGGCUGCACGAGGUGUUUGGCAA